GAGACAUCCCUGUGGAGCAGGACUUGCUUCAGUGGGGCUUUGGUGCUCACUGAGUCUGCCCCUUGAGUGUGCCAUU
rfam:Myotis davidii contig100662, whole genome shotgun sequence.